UCUCCACGUCCGUUCCAGCUCCUCUGUUUCACGCAGCCGUAAGCUUGAAUCCAGCCAUUCACUUGGGUAGUUUCACGUCCACUGUCCGCGAUCCAAGGCCUCCUCCAUCGACACGGGAUAAGCUCUAAAUCCAACUGCAUCAUCCUCUGUUCUGCACCUCACGAAUCAGUUUCUCAUCCCAUGAAGCAUCUCAGUCUGUGUUCAUUCCGUUUGCAUGUCGUUCGAAACCCAUCUUGUUCAAACUCCCAGCUCUCGUAUCCCAUUUCAAAUCCAACCUUCACC
rnacentral:lncRNA from 1 species